rnacentral:tRNA from 1 species
GUGUAUAGCUCAGUUGGUAGAACAUUUGCCUAGCAUACACAAGGCCCUGGGUUCAAUCCCCAGUACCAACA